UCAUUAUGCCUGGAAAGGUUUAUGGUCCAAAUGAUUCGUCGCCGUAGGAUGGGACUGCGGCCUAUCAGCUUGUUGGUGAGGUAAUGGCCCACCAAGGCUAUUACAGGUACGGGCUCUGAGAGGAGAAGCCCGGAGAUGGGUACUGAGACACGGACCCAGGCCCUAUGGGGCGCAGCAGGCGAGAAACCUUUGCAAUGUGCGCAAGCACGACAAGGUUAAUCCGAGUGUUCCCUGCUAAAGGAAUCUUUUGUUAGUUGUAAAACCACUAAUGAAUAAGGGGUGGGCAAGUUCUGGUGUCAGCCGCCGCGGUAAAACCAGCACCUCAAGUGGUCAGGAUGAUUAUUGGGCCUAAAGCAUCCGUAGCCUGUUCUGUAAGUUUUCGGUUAAAUCCAUUAGCUCAACUAAUGGGCUGCCGAAAAUACUGCAGAACUAGGGAGUGGGAGAGGUAGACGGUACUCGGUAGGAAGGGGUAAAAUCCUUUGAUCUAUUGAUGACCACCUGUGGCGAAGGCGGUCUACCAGAACACGUUCGACGGUGAGGGAUGAAAGCUGGGGGAGCAAACCGGAUUAGAUACCCGGGUAGUCCCAGCUGUAAACGAUGCAGACUCGGUGAUGCCCUGGCUUGUGGCCAGUGCAGUGCCGCAGGGAAGC
rnacentral:rRNA from 1 species